rnacentral:rRNA from 1 species
UACAGAGGGUGCGAGCGUUAAUCGGAAUUACUGGGCGUAAAGCGUGCGUAGACGGUUGUGUAAGUCGGAUGUGAAAGCCCCGGGCUUAACCUGGGAAUUGCAUUCGAGACUGCAUAGCUAGGAUGCGGAAGAGGGAAGUGGAAUUUCCGGUGUAGCGGUGAAAUGCGUAGAUAUCGGAAGGAACAUCAGUGGCGAAAGCGACUUCCUGGUCCAGCAUCGACGUCAGGCACGAAAGCGUGGGGAGCAAACAGG